UUUUUCUCAUUUUAACUUGGACAAAAUUUCCAGCCUUCUAGGUUUUUCUCUCUUGUUCUCUCUUGGCUAUGAAACAACACUAUAAUUCCACAAGGGUUCUUGGGAUUGACCUUCCUUCCAAGCUAAAGGGAUUGAGCUAUUGAGGAAAUAAACAUUAAGACACUAAAAUACCAAGAAAAUCAAGAUAAGUAAUCUAAAAGUGCGGGAAGUCGAGUUGGGCUGGUAUUGGAGUUUUACAACCAGGCACAUGUGCUUCGGCAAACACGCCUCCUCAGUAGGAGCCCAGGAUAUCCAUUUGCUAUUGGUGAGCUCCAGUUUGCUUCGGAACUUUUCGAGUCGGUUCCAUAUAUUUUUGGUAUUGUAUAAAAGUUAAUAGUAUGGCGGGGGUUUGUCCUGACUGUCACACCUCUAUUAAAUAAGGAUUAUUUUAAUUACAGAGUCGCCACUUGGAAUUGAGUUAUGGUGUUCCAAGUCACCUUUUUGAAUCCCUAAUCAAAAGGAAAUGACUCUUUGUUUGUCUGCGAAAAUAGAAGACCGGGUAAGGAAUUCUGUUGAUCGAGGGGAAGGUGUGAGGCACCCCUCGAGUCCCGUGGUUCUAGCACGGUCGCUUUUAUUAACUUAUACUUAACUUUAACUAUUUUGGAUAAA